GAUCAUGGCUCAGGAUGAACGCUAGCUACAGGCUUAACACAUGCAAGUCGAGGGGCAGCAUGGACCCAGCUUUGCUGGGUUUGAUGGCGACCGGCGCACGGGUGAGUAACGCGUAUCCAACCUGCCCUUUACUCCGGGAUAGUCUCCUGAAAGGGAGUUUAAUACCGGAUGUGUUUGUCUUUCCGCAUGGGAGCGACAAAUAAAGAUUAAUUGGUAAAGGAUGGGGAUGCGUCCCAUUAGCUUGUUGCGGGG
rnacentral:rRNA from 1 species